rfam:Populus trichocarpa scaffold_1_contig_650, whole genome shotgun sequence.
UCUAGAACUCGAGAUAUGGCUGAACACUGAACAAUGUGUAGGCUACAGGACAGAUUCAGACUUCUCUUUUGAUGCUAAGAUUUGGACUUUCAAACGGCAAAAUUGAGUUUUGGACUCUUCUUAAAUGUUUUAGGCCUAUGUCUUAGCUUUUUAGC